ACAACAUGGCAGUCGAACGAUGAACCCGAAGCUUGCUUUGGGGGAUUAGUGGCGAACGGGUGAGUAACACGUGAGCAACCUGCCCCUCACUCUGGGAUAAGCGCUGGAAACGGCGUCUAAUACUGGAUACGAGACGCGACCGCAUGGUCAGUGUCUGGAAAGAUUUUUUGGUGGGGGAUGGGCUCGCGGCCUAUCAGCUUGUUGGUGAGGUAAUGGCUCACCAAGGCGUCGACGGGUAGCCGGCCUGAGAGGGUGACCGGCCACACUGGGACUGAGACACGGCCCAGACUCCUACGGGAGGCAGCAGUGGGGAAUAUUGCACAAUGGGCGGAAGCCUGAUGCAGCAACGCCGCGUGAGGGAUGACGGCCUUCGGGUUGUAAACCUCUUUUAGCAGGGAAGAAGCGAAAGUGACGGUACCUGCAGAAAAAGCACCGGCUAACUACGUGCCAGCAGCUUGGUAAUAAUGC
rnacentral:rRNA from 1 species